rnacentral:rRNA from 1 species
CACGUAGGGGGCAAGCGUUGUCCGGAUUCAUUGGGCGUAAAGAGCUCGUAGGCGGCUCAGUAAGUCGGGUGUGAAACCCUCAGGCUCAACCUGGGGACGCCACUCGAUACUGCUGUGGCUAGAGUCCAGUAGGGGAGUGUGGAAUUCCCGGUGUAGCGGUGAAAUGCGCAGAUAUCGGGAGGAACACCAGCGGCGAAGGCGGCUUUCUGGUCUGUUCUUGACGCUGAGGCGCGAAAGCUAGGGUAGCAAACGGG